rnacentral:rRNA from 1 species
UACGAAGGGGGCUAGCGUUGUUCGGAAUCACUGGGCGUAAAGCGCACGUAGGCGGAUCUUUAAGUCAGAGGUGAAAUCCCAAGGCUCAACCUUGGAACUGCCUUUGAUACUGGGGAUCUUGAGUCCGGGAGAGGUGAGUGGAACUGCGAGUGUAGAGGUGAAAUUCGCAGAUAUUCGCAAGAACACCAGUGGCGAAGGCGGCUCACUGGCCCGGUACUGACGCUGAGGUGCGAAAGCGUGGGGAGCAAACAGG